rnacentral:antisense_RNA from 1 species
UGUGGGAGCGGGCUUGCCCGCGAUAGCGAUCUGGCUGACACAUCAAUAGUGAAUGUGCCGCCGCUAUCGCGGGCAAGCCCGCUCCCACA